rnacentral:rRNA from 1 species
UGAUCAUGGCUCAGGACGAACGCUGGCGGCGUGCUUAACACAUGCAAGUCGAGCGGUAAGGCUCCUUCGGGAGUACACGAGCGGCGAACGGGUGAGUAACACGUGAGUAACCUGCCCCUUUCAUCGGAAUAACCAGUGGAAACGCUGGCUAAUGCCGAAUACGACCACCGAAGGCAUCUUCUGGUGGUGGAAAGCUCCGGCGGAGAGGGAUGGACUCGCGGCCUAUCAGCUUGUUGGUGAGGUAACGGCUCACCAAGGCAACGACGGGUAGCCGGCCUGAGAGGGUGACCGGCCACACUGGGACUGAGACACGGCCCAGACUCCUACGGGAGGCAGCAGUGGGGAAUAUUGGACAAUGGGCGAAAGCCUGAUCCAGCAACGCCGCGUGAGGGAUGACGGCCUUCGGGUUGUAAACCUCUUUCAGUAGGGACGAAGCGAAAGUGACGGUACCUACAGAAGAAGGACCGGCCAACUACGUGCCAGCAGCCGCGGUAAUACGUAGGGUCCGAGCGUUGUCCGGAAUUAUUGGGCGUAAAGGGCUCGUAGGCGGUUUGUCGCGUCGGGAGUGAAAACUCAGGGCUUAACCCUGAGCGUGCUUCCGAUACGGGCAGACUAGAGGUAUGCAGGGGAGAACGGAAUUCCUGGUGUAGCGGUGGAAUGCGCAGAUAUCAGGAGGAACACCGGUGGCGAAGGCGGUUCUCUGGGCAUUACCUGACGCUGAGGAGCGAAAGCAUGGGGAGCGAACAGGAUUAGAUACCCUGGUAGUCCAUGCCGUAAACGGUGGGCGCUAGGUGUGGGGACCUUCCACGGUCUCCGUGCCGCAGCUAACGCAUUAAGCGCCCCGCCUGGGGAGUACGGCCGCAAGGCUAAACUCAAAGGAAUUGACGGGGCCCGCACAGCGGCGGAGCAUGCUGAUUAAUUCGAUGCACGCGAAGAACCUUACCUG